UUCCGCAUCUCCCAGGAGCAUCUCGCAGACCAUUUUGACAGUCGAGAACGAAGGGCCCCAAGAAGGACUCGGGUCAAUGGAGACAACCGCCUCUAGUUGUACCCCAGCCUCGUUGGAGAGCAGCAGGUGCUGUGCGCCUUGUAGAAUGCCGCGAACUGGGUUCUUUGGAAGCAGCCCCCUGUGGCGGCCUUCCGGGUCUCGCAGCCUGAAGCCUGGAUUCCAGCAGUGAAUGCUAGACAGAAACCAAGCCAUUAAUGAGAUGUUAUUACUGUUUUGGGCCUCCAUGCCCCAGCUCUGGAUGAAGGCAAAAACUGUACUGUGUUUCGCAUUAAGCACACACAUCUGGCCCUGACUUCUGGAGAUGGAUCCUUCCAUCUUGUGGGGCCAGGACCAUGGCCGAAGCCCCUUGGAGAGAGAGGCUGCCUCAGCCAGUGGCACAGGAGACUCCAAGGAGCUACUGACAUUCCUAAGAGUGGAGGAGGAGGAGGAGCCUUGCUGGGCCAGGGAAACAAAGUUUACAUUGUCCUGUAGCUUUAAAACCACAGCUGGGCAGGGUGAGAAGCUAGAUGCCCCUGCAGUUUGGCCCUGGAGCCAGGGCAGAGGAAUGUAGGGCCUGCAUGGAGAAGGGUUCUGCCCUGCCUGAGGAGGAGGACACAGCACAAGGGCACAUUGCCCAUGGCUGGGAACAUGACCCAGCCUGAAAGAUACAGGGGAUCAUGUUAAAAAUAGCAGUAUUAUUUUUCGUCUCAAUGGUAUUGUAACUAAGUUAUUUACUCCUCCUGCUCCUCACCCCUGUAGGGAAACCUUGGAGAGGAGAGUGGCAGGUGGGCUGCCUGCUGUGUUAAGAGGACUUAGUUUGUGAUGUAAGGCACUGUCAGGAAUGGGGGGCGGGCCAGGGUGGGAAGAGAAGAAAUAGCAGAGCCUAUUUUGGUGAGGUUUUUUGUUUUUAAGUCAAAGAAGACUCAGUAUGCUUUCCCUGAGGAAUGAAAAAGGGAUUGAGGAGUUGCCUGACUCCUGGGUGGGUGGGGUACAGGCAGUUAGGUGCUGAAUGAAGCUGCCAUCCUUGCUGCAGCUUCUAACUGGUAAAAAGAUCCAGGGAUGGAGAUGGGAAGGUUAGAAAGGCAGCCCUCACCUCUGAGGACAGAGGCCGGGGUCCAGGCCCGUGGGCGCAAAGGUGCCUCAUAGCAUAGCCAGCAUUCAGCACACACAAACCUACUGCCCACAUUUGGGCUCAGGGUUGGCCAUUUGCUAGUUCUGCUGCCCUCUUAAGAUCUGACUGCCAAAUAAAUCAUCCUCAUGUCCUUUU
rnacentral:lncRNA from 1 species